rnacentral:rRNA from 1 species
AUUGAACGCUGGCGGCAGGCCUAACACAUGCAAGUCGAACGGUAACAGGAAGAAGCUUGCUUCUUUGCUGACGAGUGGCGGACGGGUGAGUAAUGUCUGGGAAACUGCCUGAUGGAGGGGGAUAACUACUGGAAACGGUAGCUAAUACCGCAUAACGUCGCAAGACCAAAGAGGGGGACCUUCGGGCCUCUUGCCAUCGGAUGUGCCCAGAUGGGAUUAGCUAGUAGGUGGGGUAACGGCUCACCUAGGCGACGAUCCCUAGCUGGUCUGAGAGGAUGACCAGCCACACUGGAACUGAGACACGGUCCGGACUCCUACGGGAGGCAGCAGUGGGGAAUAUUGCACAAUGGGCUCAAGCCUGAUGCAGCCAUGCCGCGUGUAUGAAGAAGGCCUUCGGGUUGUAAAGUACUUUCAGCGGGGAGGAAGGGAGUAAAGUUAAUACCUUUGCUCAUUGACGUUACCCGCAGAAGAAGCACCGGCUAACUCCGUG